rnacentral:sRNA from 1 species
UUAAAACCAAAAAAAAAAAAACCAAACGGUCAACCAAAACU